GGGACUGCCUUAUAGCUUUCCUCCUACACUCUCCUGGGUACACUCCCUCGAGACGUGAAUCUUUGUGGUGACUGCUAAUAUCCGGCGGCACCCAUCUGCUCCGGUGCCCUGAGGAUCGAUACCGCUCUCCAGUAGAAGAUGUGCUCUUUGUGCUGUUGUUUGGAUUCUGGAUUUCUCACUUUAUGCUGCUUUGGAUUUCGCCCGUCCUCUGUGUUUCCACAUACCAUGUAGCCGGAUGCCAGACCACCAGUUCAUCUAGUUCAAGACCAAUUGAUUAACUGAUCAGUACUAAACGCCAUUGGGCAUCAUUCACUCUUUUAUUGAUACGAUCUUGUAAUGUGUAAAUGGAAUCAAGUAAGCUUAGAGUUUACUUCAUCUUUACCUACUCUGAAGCAGGUCUUCAGCCUAAUGCUGGGGGUCACACAUUCACGUAUCACGACGGCGUAUGCCCACGUAUGCGGAUCGGGAGCAUCAUCGCGGUGAAAUGACCUUGAACAGCUGGUAAACAGGACACAGGCUGACGGACGUAAAGCCAGCACCGUAAAUUGCGCCGCAAAUGUACACGCAACGCAAGCAAGGUCGGACGUCCUUCCUAUCUGGAACUUUCUCCGAUACUGUAACGUUCUAUGUACGUCAACUUCACGUCGUUACCACGCCCACCGUGUUGGGGCUGUAGGGUACAAAAUGGCCGGCCUGAAAACAGAGCAGACUGUAAAGUGAUGGAACAUGUUUGAGAGAAUGUAAAAAUAAAAAUAUUGCAUCUGAAAAUCCAGGUUGUAAAUUCACUUUGGUAGAAUUCUGCAUGUACUGUAAAAUAUUGUAUAUUUUCAACAAAUAAAAAAAAAUUAAGUCAGA